CCUACGGGUGGCAGCAGUGGGGAAUAUUGGACAAUGGACCGAGAGUCUGAUCCAGCAAUUCUGUGUGCACGAUGAAGUUUUUCGGAAUGUAAAGUGCUUUCAGUUGGGAAGAAAAAAAUGACGGUACCAACAGAAGAAGUGACGGCUAAAUACGUGCCAGCAGCCGCGGUAAUACGUAUGUCACGAGCGUUAUCCGGAUUUAUUGGGCGUAAAGCGCGUCUAGGUGGUUAUGUAAGUCUGAUGUGAAAAUGCAGGGCUCAACUCUGUAUUGCGUUGGAAACUGUGUAACUAGAGUACUGGAGAGGUAAGCGGAACUACAAGUGUAGAGGUGAAAUUCGUAGAUAUUUGUAGGAAUGCCGAUGGGGAAGCCAGCUUACUGGACAGAUACUGACGCUAAAGCGCGAAAGCGUGGGUAGCAAACAGGAUUAGAUACCCUUGUAGUC
rnacentral:rRNA from 1 species